rnacentral:lncRNA from 1 species
CAAAUUUGGGGAUUCUAAAAUUGUCAAACCCGCACACGGCGGGGAUAAACUAAUCCAAAAAUUUGGUUUGAUCGAUUUGGAUAUAUGGAAAGAAAUUGAUGAAAACGGUGGGAAAAAACACACAAACUGGACUCAAACAAGACCUAACCAGUAACAAGACCUCGACCAGGACACAAACUCAACACUACGGACAAAGGCUAUGGCGCGAAUGGGUUGUAGGACAUGAAAACAAUAUGGCACUAGACUUAUGGGACGAACACAAAGACACUCGAAACUAAGGGUAGAUGUGAACCUAACGGUAUGUCUCAUGCUUUGAUUACCACUUGAGGAGAACAAGUGGUUCUGGUAACUAUCGAUUUGGUGGAAACGAGACACAAAUCAAUCCAGCUUGCGAACAACACGAUACGAAACCCUACAAUUCUUUUUAUUUUUUUAUAUUUUUCUUUUACUUAGGAGCACUCAAUAAGUAACCACAGGAAAUUUGAGCUUAAACAAGUGAAAGACGUGGCCUGUGGAAAUUUUUGAAAAUUGCGAAAAAUUUGAAAAAAGUUUUGGAGGUGAAAACUCAAACUUUAGAGGCGAAUUUGGGGAUUCUAAAAUUGUCAAACCCGCACGCAGCGGGGAUAGACUGAUCCAAAAAUUUGGUUUGAUCGAUUUUGAUAUAUGGAACGUCAAAAUCGGAGUUCGUAUGCGAAAAUUAUGGCUGUUUUACGAACGAACUCCGAAUUAGAAUACAAAACGGUCCGCAAGUGGGAAAAAUUUGCGGCGGUGGCUAGAAACUGAUGGAAACGGUGGGAAAAAACACACAAACUCGACUGAAACAAGACCUAACCAGUAACAAGACCUCAACCACGACACAAACUCAACACUACGGACAAAGGCUAUGGCGCGGAUGGGUUGUAGGACAUGAAAACAAUAUGCCACUAGACUUAUGGGAUGAACACAAGGACACUCGAAACUAAGGGUAGAUGUGAACCUAACGGUAUGUGUCAUGCUUUGAUUACCACUUGAGGAGAACAAGUGUGGCCCGAUCUUCCGAAAGGUUCUGGUAACUAUCGAUUUGGUGGAAUCGAGACACAAAUCAAUCCAGCUUGCGAACAACACGAUUCGAAACCCAACAAUUCUUUUUUAUUUUUUUUAUAUUUUUCUUUCACUUAGGAGCACUCAAGAAGUAACCAUAGGAAAUUUGAGCUUAAACAAGUGAAAGACGUGGCCUGUGGAAAUUUUUGGAAAUUGUGAAAAAUAUGAAAAAAACUUUUGGAGGUGAAAACUCAAACUUCAGAGGCGAAUUUGGGGAUUCUAAAAUUGUCAAACCCGUACACGGCGGGGAUAGACAGAUCCAAAAAUUUGGUUUGAUCGAUUUUGAUAUAUGGAACGUCAAAAUCGGAGUUCGUAUGCGGAAAUUAUGGCUGUUUUACGAACGGACUCUGAAUUAGAAGACAAAACGGUCCGGAAGUGGGAAAAAUUUGCGGCGGUGGCUAGAAAUUGAUGGAAACGGUGGGAAGAAGCACACAAAUUGGACUCUAACAAGACCUAACGAGUAACAAGACCUCGACUAGUACACAAACUCAACACUACGGACUGUGAAACUGAAAUAUGCAAAGGCUAUGGCGCGGAUGGGUUGUAGGACAUGAAAACAAUAUGGCACCAGACUUAUGGGACGAACACAAGGACACUCGAAAUUAAGGAUAGAUGUGAACCUAAUGGUAUGUAUAAAGCUUUGAUUACCACUUGAGGAGAAUAAGUGUGGCCCGAUCUUCCGAAAGGUUCUCAUAACUAUCGAUUUGGUGGAAACGAGACACAAAUCAAUCCAGCAUACGAACAACACGGUUUGAAACCCUGCAAUUCUUUUUAUUUAUUUUUUUUGAUAUUUUGCUUUUACUUAGGAGCACUCAAGAAGUAAGCACAGGAAAUUUGAGCUUAAACAAGUGAAAGACGUGGCUUGUGGAAUUUUUUGAAGAUUGCGAAAAAUAUAAAAAAAUUAGGAGGUGAAAACUCAAACUUCAGAGGCGAAUUUGGGGAUUCUAAAAUUACCGAACUAGCCUUUGGCUGAAAUAUGCGAAGGCUAUGGCGCGGAUGGGUUGUAGGACAUGAAAACAAUAUGCCACUAGACUUAUGGGACGAACACAAGGACACUCGAAACUAAGGGUAGAUGUGAACCUAAUGGUAUGUCUCAUGCUUUGAUUACCACUUGAGGAGAACAAGUGUGGCCUGAUCUUCCGAAAGGUUGUGGUAAAUAUCGAUCUGGUGGAAACGAGACACAAAACAAUCCAGCUUGCGGACAACACGAUUAAAAACCCUACAAUUCUUUUUAUUUUUUUAUAUUUUUCUUUUACUUAGGUGCACUCAAGAAGUAACCACAUGAAAUUUGAGCAUAAACAAGUGAAAGACGUGGCAUGUGGAAAUUUUUGAAAAUUACAAAAAAUAUGAAAAAAACUUUUAGAGGUGAAAACUCAAACUUCAGAGGCAAAUUUGGGGAUUCUAAAAUUGUCAAACCCGCACACGGCGAGGAUAGACUGAUCCAAAAAUUUGGUUUGAUCGAUUUGGAUAUAUGGAACGUCAAAAUCGGAGUUCGUAUGCAAAAAUUAUGGUUGUUUUACGAACGGACUCCGAAUAAGAAGACAAAACGGUCCGCAAGUGGGAAAAAUUUGCGGCGGUGGCUAGAAAUUGAUGAAAACGGUGGGAAAAAACACACAAACUGAACUCAAACAAGACCUAACCAGUAACAAGACCUCGACCAGGACACAAACUCAAAACUACGGACAAAGGCUAUGGCGCGGAUGGGUUGUAGGACAUGAAAACAAUAUGCCACUAGACUUAUGGGAUGAACACAAGGACACUCGAAACUAAGGGUAGAUGUGAACCUAACGGUAUGUCUCAUGCUUUGAUUACCACUUGAGGAGAACAAGUGUGGCCCGAUCUUCCGAAAGGUUCUGGUAACAAUCGAUUUGGUGGAAACGAGACACAAAUCAAUCCAGCUUGCAAACAACAUGAUUCGAAACCCUACAAUUCUUUUUAUUUUUUUAUAUUUUUCUUUUACUUAGGAGCACUCAAGAAGUAACCACAGGAAAUUGGAGCUUAAACAAGUGAAAGACGUGGCCUGUGGAAAUUUUUGAAAAUUGCGAAAAAUUUGAAAAAAACUUUUGGAGGUGAAAACUCAAACUUUAGAGGCGAAUUUGGGGAUUCUAAAAUUGUCAAACCCGCACACAGCGGGGAUAGACUGAUCCAAAAAUUUGGUUUGAUCGAUUUUGAUAUAUGGAACGUCAAAAUCGGAGUUCGUAUGCGAAAAUUAUGGCUGUUUUACGAACGAACUCCGAAUUAGAAUACAAAACGGUCCGCAAGUGGGAAAAAUUUGCGGCGGUGGCUAGAAAUUAAUGGAAACGGUGGGAAAAAACACACAAACUCGACUGAAACAAGACCUAACCAGUAACAAGACCUCGACCAGGACACAAACUCAACACUACGGACAAAGGCUAUGGCGCGGAUGGGUUGUAGGACAUGAAAACAAUAUGCCACUAGACUUAUGGGAUGAACACAAGGACACUCGAAACUAAGGGUAGAUGUGAACCUAACGGUAUGUGUCAUGCUUUGAUUACCACUUGAGGAGAACAAGUGUGGCCCGAUCUUCCGAAAGGUUCUGGUAACUAUCGAUUUGGUGGAAUCGAGACACAAAUCAAUCCAGCUUGCGAACAACACGAUUCGAAACCCAACAAUUCUUUUUUAUUUUUUUUAUAUUUUUCUUUCACUUAGGAGCACUCAAGAAGUAACCAUAGGAAAUUAGAGCUUAAACAAGUGAAAGACGUGGCCUGUGGAAAUUUUUGGAAAUUGUGAAAAAUAUGAAAAAAACUUUUGGAGGUGAAAACUCAAACUUCAGAGGCGAAUUUGGGGAUUCUAAAAUUGUCAAACCCGCACACGGCGGGGAUAGACAGAUCCAAAAAUUUGGUUUGAUCGAUUUUGAUAUAUGGAACGUCAAAAUCGGAGUUCGUAUGCGGAAAUUAUGGCUGUUUUACGAACGGACUCUGAAUUAGAAGACAAAACGGUCCGGAAGUGGAUAAAAUUUGCGGCGGUGGCUAGAAAUUGAUGGAAACGGUGGGAAGAAGCACACAAAUUGGACUCUAACAAGACCUAACGAGUAACAAGACCUCGACUAGUACACAAAUUCAACACUACGGACUGUGAAACUGAAAUAUGCAAAGGCUAUGGCGCGGAUGGGUUGUAGGACAUGAAAACAAUAUGCCACUAGACUUAUGGGACGAACACAAAGACACUCGAAACUAAGGGUAGAUGUGAACCUAACGGUAUGUCUCAUGCUUUGAUUACCACUUGAGGAGAACAAGUGUGGCCCGAUCUUCCGAAAGGUUCUCAUAACUAUCGAUUUGGUGGAAACGAGACACAAAUCAAUCCAGCUUACGAACAACACGGUUUGAAACCCUACAAUUCUUUUUUUUUUGAUAUUUUCCUUUUACUUAGGAGCACUCAAGAAGUAAGCACAGAAAAUUUGAGCUUAAACAAGUGAAAGACGUGGCUUGUGGAAUUUUUUGAAGAUUGCGAAAAAUAUAAAAAAAUUAGGAGGUGAAAACUCAAACUUCAGAGGCGAAUUUGGGGAUUCUAAAAUUACUGAACCUGCCUUUGGCUGAAAUAUGCGAAGGCUAUGGUGCGGAUGGGUUGUAGGACAUGAAAACAAUAUGGCACUAGACUUAUGGGACGAACACAAGGACACUCGAAACUAAGGGUAGAUGUGAACCUAAUGGUAUGUCUCAUGCUUUGAUUACCACUUGAGGAGAACAAGUGUGGCCCGAUCUUCCGAAAGGUUCUGGUAAAUAUCGAUCUGGUGGAAACGAGACACAAAUCAAUCCAGGUUGCAAACAACACGAUUCGAAACCCUACAAUUCUUUUUAUUUUUUUAUAUUUUUCUUUUACUUAGGAGCACUCAAGAAGUAACCACAUGAAAUUUGAGCUUAAACAAGUGAAAGACGUGGCAUGUGGAAAUUUUUGAAAAUUACAAAAAAUAUGAAAAAAACUUUUAGAGGUGAAAACUCAAACUUCAGAGGCAAAUUUGGGGACUAUAAAAUUGUCAAACCCACACACGGCGGGGAUAAACUGAUCCAAAAAUUUGGUUUGAUCGAUUUGGAUAUAUGGAACGUCAAAAUCGGAGUUCGUAUGCGAAAAUUAUGGUUGUUUUACGAACGGACUCCGAAUUAGAAGACAAAACGGUCCGCAAGUGGGAAAAAUUUGCGGCGGUGGCUAGAAAUUGAUGAAAACGGUGGGAAAAAACACACAAACUGGACUCAAACAAGACCUAACCAGUAACAAGACCUCGACCAGGACACAAACUCAACACUACGGACAAAGGCUAUGGCGCGGAUGGGUUGUAGGACAUGAAAACAAUAUGGCACUAGACUUAUGGGACGAACACAAAGACACUCGAAACUAAGGGUAGAUGUGAACCUAACGGUAUGUCUCAUGCUUUGAAUACCACUUGAGGAGAACAAGUGUGGCCCGAUCUUCCGAAAGGUUCUGGUAACUAUCGAUUUGGUGGAAACGAGACACAAAUCAAUCCAGCUUGCCAACAACACGAUUCGAAACCCUACAAUUCUUUUUAUUUUUUUAUAUUUUUCUUUUACUUAGGAGCACUCAAGAAGUAACCACAGGAAAUUGGAGCUUAAACAAGUGAAAGACGUGGCCUGUGGAA